GGUUUUCCGGCACCGCGCCGCGCUACAUUCGAGAUACCGGUGGCUCGCUAGGUGGCGGAAGGAGGUGGUGAUGGCCGACCCCGGAAGCGUGG
rnacentral:sRNA from 2 species